rnacentral:tRNA from 1 species
GAGUGCGUAGCUCAGCUGGUAGAGCAUUGGACUUUUAAUCCACAGGUCUUGGGUUCAAGCCCCAACACACUCA